rnacentral:rRNA from 1 species
AAACUGAAUGUCAGUAUAAGCAAUUAUACAGCGAAACUGCGAAUGGCUCAUUAAAUCAGUUAUCGUUUAUUUGAUAGUACCUUACUACUUGGAUAACCGUGGUAAUUCUAGAGCUAAUACAUGCUAAAAACCCCGACUCACGAAGGGGUGUAUUUAUUAGAUUAAAAACCAAUGCCCUUCGGGGCUCUUUGGUGAUUCAUAAUAACUUUUCGAAUCGCAUGGCCUUGCGCCGGCGAUGGUUCAUUCAAAUUUCUGCCCUAUCAACUUUCGAUGGCAGGGUCUUGGCCUGCCAUGGUUACAACGGGUAACGGAGGGUUAGGGCUCGACCCCGGAGAAGGAGCCUGAGAAACGGCUACUACAUCCAAGGAAGGCAGCAGGCGCGCAAAUUACCCAAUCCCGAUUCGGGGAGGUAGUGACAAUAAAUACUGAUACAGGGCUCUUUUGGGUCUUGUAAUUGGAAUGAGUACAAUUUAAAUCCCUUAACGAGGAACAAUUGGAGGGCAAGUCUGGUGCCAGCAGCCGCGGUAAUUCCAGCUCCAAUAGCGUAUAUUAAAGUUGUUGCAGUUAAAAAGCUCGUAGUUGAACCUUGGGCCUGGCUGGCCGGUCCGCCUCACCGCGUGCACUGGUUCGGCCGGGCCUUUCCCUCUGGGGAACCCUAUGGUCUUCACUGAUCGUAGCGGGGAACCAGGACUUUUACUGUGAAAAAAUUAGAGUGUUCAAAGCAGGCCUAUGCUCGAAUACAUUAGCAUGGAAUAAUAAAAUAGGACGUGUGGUUCUAUUUUGUUGGUUUCUAGGACCGCCGUAAUGAUUAAUAGGGACAGUCGGGGGCAUCAGUAUUCAAUUGUCAGAGGUGAAAUUCUUGGAUUUAUUGAAGACUAACUACUGCGAAAGCAUUUGCCAAGGAUGUUUUCAUUAAUCAGGAACGAAAGUUAGGGGAUCGAAGACGAUCAGAUACCGUCGUAGUCUUAACCAUAAACUAUGCCGACUAGGGAUCGGACGGUGUUAUUUUUUGACCCGUUCGGCACCUUACGAGAAAUCAAAGUCUUUGGGUCUGGGGAUAGUCCCCAAG